CCCCCGAGAUAAGAGACUUGUUAAAGAGGACACUGAACGGGAUACAUAGAACAUCUGCCGCUUCUUUAAGAAGUCAAGGAUUCACAAGAUCAGGACCGACAGCUUAGAACAAUCAAGUCUAAGAAACCAAAAGAAAAAGAUACAAGAGGAAUGAGAGAGUGACAAAUUCGACUGCAAGAGAGGAAUGAGAAACAAAGAAGAAUAGACGGAGAGACGACAGAUGGACAGACACAGAGGAGAAAGUUCAGGUUUAUAGCGCCAUUCGUCGACACAGUUAAUGGGAUAUCUCACUCGUCUGUUCUUCUUACAACAGAGAUGUCAGCAAUCUCGAGAAACAUCCUGCGAAUA